GUGGCUAUAGCUCAAUUGGUUAGAGCACGAGACUGUGGCUCUCGGUGUUGCCGGUUCGAGUCCGGUUAGCCACCCCA
rnacentral:tRNA from 1 species